UAGGGAAUCUUCGGCAAUGGACGAAAGUCUGACCGAGCAACGCCGCGUGAGUGAAGAAGGUUUUCGGAUCGUAAAACUCUGUUGUUAGAGAAGAACAAGGACGUUAGUAACUGAACGUCCCCUGACGGUAUCUAACCAGAAAGACACGGCUAACUACGUGCCAGCAGCCGCGGUAAUACGUAGGUGGCAAGCGUUGUCCGGAUUUAUUGGGCGUAAAGCGAGCGCAGGCGGUUUCUUAAGUCUGAUGUGAAAGCCCCCGGCUCAACCGGGGAGGGUCAUUGGAAACUGGGAGACUGGAGUGCAGAAGAGGAGAGUGGAAUUCCAUGUGUAGCGGUGAAAUGCGUAGAUAUAUGGAGGAACACCAGUCGCGAAGGCGGCUCUCUGGUCUGUAACUGACGCUGAGGCUCGAAAGCGUGGGUAGCAAACAGG
rnacentral:rRNA from 1 species